UCCACAGAUCCUGGUCCCUACAAAUAAGCCUGCUCAUGUGAGAUAAGAAAGGAGUUCCUGGAACCAGGAAUUCAUUCUCAGUGUAGAAGACCUAGCUGAGACCUCACUCCACAGUUUUGGGGCAGAAGCAGAAGAGACGCACAGUAGAACCGAUCUCAGCCUUGCUGAUCAUCUCGUACAGCAGCAGAAAAUGACCAUGUUACAGAUUUACCAGGAUUGUGCUCUUACAGGAGUCAUUCUCAUUUGACGAUUUAUCUGUGGACUUCACCCAAAAGGAGUGGCAGCUACUGGAUCCCUCUCAGAAGAAUUUAUACAAGGAUGUGAUGUUGGAGAACUAUAGCAGCCUAGUGUCACUGGGGUAUGAAGUUAUGAAACCAGAUGUCAUCUUCAAAUUGGAGCAAGGAGAAGAGCCGUGGGUAGGAGAUGGAGAAAUUCC
rnacentral:lncRNA from 1 species